CACGUAGGGGGCAAGCGUUGUCCGGAUUUAUUGGGCGUAAAGAGCUCGUAGGCGGUUCGGCAAGUCGGGUGUGAAACCCCCAGGCUCAACCUGGGGACGCCACCCGAUACUGCUGUGACUUGAGUCCGGUAGGGGAGCGUGGAAUUCCUGGUGUAGCGGUGAAAUGCGCAGAUAUCAAGAGGAACACCAGCGGCGAAGGCGGCGCUCUGGGCCGGAACUGACGCUGAGGAGCGAAAGCGUGGGUAGCAAACAGG
rnacentral:rRNA from 1 species